CGUGAGUAACCUGCCUUGGAGAGGGGAAUAACACAUCGAAAGAUGUGCUAAUACCGCAUGAAAUGUCUGAAUCGCAUGGUUCUGGACAUCAAAGAUUUAUCGCUCUGAGAUGGACUCGCGUCUGAUUAGCUGGUUGGCGGGGUAACGGCCCACCAAGGCGACGAUCAGUAGCCGGACUGAGAGGUUGGCCGGCCACAUUGGGACUGAGACACGGCCCAGACUCCUACGGGAGGCAGCAG
rnacentral:rRNA from 1 species